rnacentral:rRNA from 1 species
AAGACGAUAUGCUUUGUGUAUAUGUAAGUAAGCUUUGAUCCAGAGAUUUCAGAAUGUGGAAACCCAGCAUGAGUUAUGUCAUGUUAUCGAUAUGUGAAUACAUAGCAUAUCAGAAGGCACACACGGAGAACUGAAACAUCUUAGUACCCGGAGGAAGAGAAAGAAUAUUCGAUUCCCUUAGUAGCGGCGAGCGAAACGGGAAGAGCCCAAUCCAACAAGCUUGCUUGUUGGGGUUGUAGG